rnacentral:rRNA from 1 species
UACGUAGGUGGCAAGCGUUGUCCGGAUUUAUUGGGUUUAAAGGGUGCGUAGGCGGCCCUGUAAGUCAGUGCUGAAAUAUCCCAGCUUAACUGGGAGGGUGGCAUUGAUACUGCGGGGCUAGAGUACAGAUGAGGUAGGCGGAAUUGACGGUGUAGCGGUGAAAUGCUUAGAGAUCCGGAGGAACACCGAAGGCGAAGGCAGUCUCCUGGCAAGUUACUGACGCUCAGGUGCGAAAGCUAGGGGAGCGAACAGG